GACGUAGGGGGCGAGCGUUGUCCGGAUUUAUUGGGCGUAAAGAGCGCGUAGGCGGCUCGGAAAGUCGGUUGUGAAAACCCGGGGCUCAACCCCGGGCCUGCAGCCGAUACGGGCAGGCUAGAGUUCGGUAGGGGAGACUGGAAUUCCUGGUGUAGCGGUGAAAUGCGCAGAUAUCAGGAGGAACACCGGUGGCGAAGGCGGGUCUCUGGGCCGAUACUGACGCUGAGGAGCGAAAGCGUGGGGAGCGAACAGG
rnacentral:rRNA from 1 species